rnacentral:rRNA from 1 species
UACAGAGGUCCCGAGCGUUGUUCGGAUUCAUUGGGCGUAAAGGGUGCGUAGGUGGCAUGGUAAGUCGGAUGUGAAAUCCCGGGGCUCAACCCCGGAACUGCAUUCGAUACUGCCAGGCUAGAGUACUGGAGAGGAGAUUGGAAUUUACGGUGUAGCAGUGAAAUGCGUAGAUAUCGUAAGGAAGACCAGUGGCGAAGGCGGAUCUCUGGACAGUUACUGACACUGAGGCACGAAGGCCAGGGGAGCAAACGGG